UCUCAAUUGCUCCAAGAUAUUGAGAUCAGUUAGAGUUAUAUUUACUAACAGGAUGGAACCAACCGGAGAUACUAUUUUUAAUUCCGUUCUCUCCGUAUACUUACUUUUUGCUGUGGUUGCUUGGAUUCUACUAGUGUUCAGACCAGAUAAAGCAGUCAAGAAAGCUAAAGUAUCGGAGACAUCUAAGAGUGCAGUUGUUGAGAAAAUAUCCAACCCUGACAAGCAAAUGUGCCCUAAGAAGAUUAAGGAGAAUGAACCCAGCUGUAGUUCUACUGAGAAGAAAACUCAAUAGUUUAAAAAGGGAUUGUUUUAAUAUUAGAGCAUGGUUCCAGAGCUGGGAACUUUUGUUUUGGAUAUCUCGUAAUCCAGAUCCACAGAUCUCGAUAUCCACUUUUAAUUUGAGGGUCAAGGGCAACUAUAAAAACUAAACCUUUCCAUAUCUUCAUUUUAGUUAUUCCUAGCUCCCUUCAACCCAUUUCUUGAACCAUGCGGGGUAUCAAAUAAAGAAAUAAAGAUUAAGUUAAUCUGCAGAUAAACAAAAGAUCAAUAUCAAGCAUUGAUCUCGAUAUUCACAAUACAAGAGUUCACAGCUCUAGUGAAUUAUCAUAAUAAUUUCUAAAACUAGAACAAUCCCUUUCAGAUUUGCGUUAUUUCUUGGUAUGGAAGGUUUCUACCCAAUCAACAAUGUUUAAUUAUAAUUUUACUUAUGAAACCGUACAAAUACAUAAAUCCUAAAUAA